AGCCCUAGUGCCCUGGGGGACCUCCGGAGUCACCAAUUUCCAUCCUGGCCCUCUCCCCAGUCACUGCUCUCUGCAGCGAAUGUGUACUUAUUUUGGGAGAGAGAGCGGGAGACAAAGAGCCAAUCCCAAGCACCUCUGCUCUAUCAGCGCAGAGCCCGACACGGGGCUUGAACUCACGCACCGUGAGAACAUGAUCUGAGCUGAAAUCUCAAGAGUCAGAUGCUAAACCGACUGAGCCACCCAGGGAUGGUGGCCCCACCUCUGACCUCCCUGAAGCUGUAGGACCCAUUGCCACUCAGGACUGCCACUGCAGCAAGAACCCAAGCCAGAAUCAAGGAAGCACUUUCUCAAGGAAAGGAGGACAGUUCCAUGCCAAGUUCAUUCCCACUGCCCUUGAGUACAGCUCCCCUGCCCACAGUGCCCCCAUUCGUCCCUCCCUCCAGCUGUGCCCUCUCCUCAUCCAGGGACAUUCUGCUGGCCACCACUGGACCUUGAAUCCCACCUCCACCACUGAUGGGCUGUGUGUCUAGGGAAGUUGCUUAACCCUUGUGCCUCAGUUUUCCACCUGUGCGAACAGGGGGAUGAUAGGGCUGUCAUGAGCAUUCAGUGAGGUACUGCACGGACAGCCUGGACAGGGGUUGGGUCGGGGCCGAGCUGGUCGCUAUAACUGCCCGCGUUAGCAGCGCCACCACCACCAAGUCGUGGCUCUCCCACUUGCUAUGGGCUCCCCUGCUGCUGGGCACUGCAGGUGGCUCCAGGCUGGGGACCUAGAAUGGCAGAGGGAGACUGGGUAGAUGACUAAGUCCAGGGACCCACAGUGAGGGGUGGAUGGGAGGCGGGACUCCAGAAGGCGGGGGAGGAGGGAGUACAGGAGGGCCUGCUGGGUGAAGUGUGCCUGGUGAG